GCAAAAACACGGGAUAGAUUUCGGCCCAAGGGUGAAGUUAUAAAAUUGACUAGGUUUUUUUCCCUUUUUUUCCAUUAGUGAUAUCCUGGGUGGACUCUAUCACGUUUGGUCUUUGAAGCAACAGUGGAGCUUUGAGACUGGUACAAUGGACUCCGGUGAGGCGUUCACACCCACGGCUGCUUCGACAAGCAGUCAAGCGAGGAGAAGAGGGAGUCGCCUAUGAGGCGCACGGGGCAAGGGCCGUGGGAGAUGGGGCAGAGGUUGGCGUGUUUGGCCGACACCUGGGAUCGAAUUAUGUGCUGUUCGCCUUUUACUGCUUGGUUUCAAUGCAGGGCCAAUGUGCAUUAUACCUUUCCCCAUGGCCAAAGUGGAGUCUUGCUUCAGGAAAUUUGACAGUCUGCUCUACAGUGAUAAAAAAAUAUAUCUCAUAGAAGUUGACAUUAAUCCCUGCCUGUACCAGUCCAGAUCACCUGUUUCCAGUUACAAAGGUCAUCUGCUUCAUCUCCACAUUCUCUGCACCUCUCAUCAGCCUGUUUUAUGUACCUGUAUGUUUUCAGCCAGUGUUUGCCAAUUUGUCCCAGUGGUUUGUGUGAUUAAACAUACCUGUUCACCAUUUUUCCUGUUUUGUUUUUUUUUAAAUUUAAUCUAUCUUUUGCCCAAAAAGCUUUUGGCUGCUUUGGGAUAACCUGGUUUUGAUGUUGAAUGUUAUGGACUUUGACAUUUGGCAAUACCUCUUUAAUUUCAGUCCUGUUCCUGCCUUAAUUUAAUUUAUAUCGCUUUUCUAGUCUUAUCAACCACUCAAAGUGCUUUACACUACAAAUCACAUUGGUCCAUUCACUAACACAUUAAUAAAACACUUUUUAUGCAACCCUUUUCUAUCAAAAAUAAUUCAAACACUGACAGCAGUCAGGGGCAAUUUAAGUUUCAGUGACCAAGGAAGGACACUUUGGCGGGCAGACUGGAGGAGCCAGGGAUCACACCAUCUGGUUUGUGGAUGACCUGU
rnacentral:lncRNA from 1 species